rnacentral:lncRNA from 1 species
CCAACUCCUCGCCUCCCCACCUCCCUGCCUCUUGGCGUCAGCGAAGGCUCUGCUGCCUGCAGGGCAGAGAGGAGAGGGAGGAGGCCAGCGAGAGGGAGCCUCUGUCGGGGCGUGGGAGGAAAGCAAGAUAACGCAGGCGACCCGAGAAGGACGGUGAAUCUGACUGGCCAGACUGGGAAGUCUUGUCUGUCACCGAGGCUGGAGUGCAGUGUGGCAGGAUCAUAGCUUACUCCAUCCUUGAACUCCUGGGAUCAAGGAAUCCUCUAGCCUCAGCUUCCUGAGUAGGUGGGACUACAGAUGCAUACCACCAUGCCCCGUGAAGGAAGUGAGUUGUUCUUUCCUCUUUUAUAGGAAUGGGAUGGGAAAGAGGAAGGGCUAUGAGUACGCUUCGCAUGUUUGUUAUUGUGUUGUUCCGUUCUUCACACACAUGUCCAUCAGGCUCCC